rnacentral:ncRNA from 1 species
GCAGCUUCCCGUGGAAACACGGGUUGAAAAAUAAGGUUAAUUGCCCCACAAGGGGUCCCGCGUAGCUUUACGCGAAGUGGGAUCGGGAAGCCCUGAGUUUUGUUCAGGGUAAUCCGCAGCCAAGCUUCGAUGAAAGUCGUUGAAGGUUCAGAGACUAUACGCCUUAGGCCGAAACGUAAAGCCGUCGGUUAUGAGAUAGUCCACCCUCUUAAGUAAUUAGGAG